rnacentral:lncRNA from 1 species
GCAGAGGCAGGCGGAUUUCUGAGUUCGAGGCCAGCCUGGCCUACAAAGUGAGCUCCAGAACAGCCAGGGCUACACAGAGAAACCCUGUCUCGAAAAACCAAAAAAAAAAAAGAGUUGAGAGGCAGGAAACAGCAACAAAUACAAGCUUUUAUAAGCAAGGAAGGGGGGAUUAGAUUUGAUCUAAUUGUAGAUGAAAGCCAUUAGGGCUGAUUUCAUAAUUUCUACAGAGAAAGUGUGUUGAAGGGAUAAGAGAAAGUAAGAAAUGGUUGGUAUGAGAUGGGAUGCUUGUGUAACAAUUGGAAGUCUGAAAUAACAGGACUUAAAAUUGAUCAAUAGGCUGGGCGUGGUGGCGCACGCCUUUAAUCCCAGCACUUGGGAGGCAGAGGCAGGCGGAUUUCUAAGUUCAAGGACAGCCAGGGCUACACAGAGAAACCCUGUCUCGAAAAACCAAAAAAAAAAAAAAAAAAAAAAAAAAGAAUUGAUCAAUAGAAUCAUGCUUAGUGCAUACAUUUGUGAGCAAUCAACCAAGAUACAAAAGGACCCCAAAUAGUAUAUUUAAAAUCUAUGAACAUUAAUUUUUCUUGCUAGAUUAUUUUUUGUUUUCAAAGUUGGUAGAUUUAAAGUUAACCUGAAAGUCUGUAUUUUCUGUUCCAUUAAGCUUCAUCUCUGGGUGAAAGCAGAGAGUCUCCUUGCCGUAAUAAAGAGAUUCUGUUAGCAAGAUUGUUAGAAAUGUGAUGUGGACGAUCUGCUUUGAUAGACUUUUCUACAAUCAAAAACCUAGGACUAGAGAGAUGGCUCAGUGGUUAAGAGCACUAACUGCUCUUCCGGAGGUCCUGAGUUCAAUUCCCAGCAACCACAUGGUGGCUCACAACCAUCUGAUGCCCUCUUCUGGUGUGUCUGAAGACAGCUAUAGUGUACUCACAUGCAUAAAAAAAAUAAAUAAAUCUUUAAACAAACAAACUAACUAACCCAACUACUAUUUUCCCUGAGAGACUGCUUAUACUUGGCUGUUAUGCUAGUUAAGGAAACUGCUUAUACAUACAUACAUACAAACAUAGGUGGGGAGGAGUGGGUAUGGGCACUUUGUGCCAAGCCUGGUGUCCUGUGUCCAAUCCCUAGAACC